CCUACGGGAGGCAGCAGUGGGGAAUCUUGCGCAAUGGGCGAAAGCCUGACGCAGCAACGCCGCGUGAGGGACGAAGGCUUUCUGAGUUGUAAACCUCUUUCGACAGGAACGAUUGUGACGGUACCUGUAGAAGAAGCACCGGCCAACUACGUGCCAGCAGCCGCGGUGAUACGUAGGGUGCAAGCGUUGUUCGGAUUUAUUGGGCGUAAAGAGCUCGUAGGCGGUUCGAUAAGUCGGGUGUGAAACCCCCAGGCUCAACCUGGGGCAGCCACCCGAAACUGUCGUGACUAGAGUUUGGUAGGGGAUCACGGAAUUCCUGGUGUAGCGGUGGAAUGCGCAGAUAUCAGGAGGAACACCAGUAGCGAAGGCGGUGAUCUGGGCCAAUACUGACGCUGAGGAGCGAAAGCGUGGGGAGCGAACAGGAUUAGAUACCCUGGUAGUCCACGCCGUAAACGGUGGGCACUAGGUGUGGGGACUUUUCAACGGUUUCCGCGCCGCAGCUAACGCAUUAAGUGCCCCGCCUGGGGAGUACGGCCGCAAGGCUAAAACUCAAAGGAAUUGACGG
rnacentral:rRNA from 2 species